rnacentral:lncRNA from 1 species
GUUAUUGUUUCUGAUUGAUCACAGCAUCUACAUGCAUAAAACAGUGCAGCCACCAAAUCAAACCACUUGAAUAAAAACUGAAUUUCCAUCCUGUGAAGCCAGAAUGCAUCCUGCAAAACUCUCUACUGACAAGGCAACUCAGUCAGAUUAUACAAUUGGCACCUUCACAAGCUUUUCAUCUUUGUCUGAAUGGUACUCGAAAAGGAGUGAAGUUCUUUCCUACUCUUGAAAAUAUCGAUGAAACUCAAAGAAAGCGCUUGCUGCUGAAUGUCCCACUGAUCAUAAGAAGCCAAGGGCACACUGCCUCACUACCAGAAAGAGUGAGGUUCUGGAAAAGCCAAGGAGACGCUUCUGCGAGGAGACCUUUCAAGGACAGAACAUCCGUGCUCCUCCAGGGCUCCCAGGAAGCAGCGAGGUGUCAGCAGGGCAGAGGACGCCCGCUGGGGAAGGGGACUCGCCAAACG